UACGUAGGGUGCAAGCGUUGUCCGGAAUUAUUGGGCGUAAAGAGCUCGUAGGCGGUUUGUCGCGUCGAAUGUGAAAACCCGGGGCUCAACCCCGGGCCUGCAUUCGAUACGGGCAGACUAGAGUUCGGUAGGGGGAGUCUGGAAUUCCUGGUGUAGCGGUGAAAUGCGCAGAUAUCAGGAGGAACACCGGUGGCGAAGGCGGGACUCUGGGCCGAUACUGACGCUGAGGAGCGAAAGCGUGGGGAGCAAACAGGAU
rnacentral:rRNA from 1 species